GUGGGUAUAGCUCAGUGGUAGAGUAUGUGCUUAGCAUGCAUGAGGUCCGGAGUUCAAGUCCCAGUACCUCCA
rnacentral:tRNA from 1 species